rnacentral:rRNA from 1 species
GACAGAGGAUGCAAGCGUUGUCCGGAAUGAUUGGGCGUAAAGCGUGCGCAGGCGGUGAUGUAAGACAGAUGUGAAAUCCCCGGGCUCAACCUGGGAACUGCAUUUGUGACUGCAUCGCUAGAGUACGGCAGAGGGGGAUGGAAUUCCGCGUGUAGCAGUGAAAUGCGUAGAUAUGCGGAGGAACACCGAUGGCGAAGGCAAUCCCCUGGGCCUGUACUGACGCUCAUGCACGAAAGCGUGGGGAGCAAACAGG